UACAGAGGGUGCGAGCGUUAAUCGGAAUUACUGGGCGUAAAGGGCGCGCAGGCGGCUGCUCAAGUCAGGCGUGAAAGGCCUGGGCUCAACCCGGGAAUUGCGCUUGAGACUGGGCUGGCUUGAGUGCGGGAGAGGGAUGUGGAAUUCCAGGUGUAGCGGUGAAAUGCGUAGAUAUCUGGAGGAACACCGGUGGCGAAGGCGGCUUUCUGGACAGAUACCGACGCUGAGGCACGAAAGCUAGGGGAGCAAACGGG
rnacentral:rRNA from 1 species